rnacentral:rRNA from 1 species
AGUGAACGCUGGCGGUAGGCCUAACACAUGCAAGUCGAACGGCAGCACAGUAAGAGCUUGCUCUUACGGGUGGCGAGUGGCGGACGGGUGAGGAAUACAUCGGAAUCUACUUUUUCGUGGGGGAUAACGUAGGGAAACUUACGCUAAUACCGCAUACGACCUACGGGUGAAAGCAGGGGAUCUUCGGACCUUGCGCGAUUGAAUGAGCCGAUGUCGGAUUAGCUAGUUGGCGGGGUAAAGGCCCACCAAGGCGACGAUCCGUAGCUGGUCUGAGAGGAUGGUCGGCCACAUUGGAACUGGGACACGGACCAGACUCCUACGGGAGGCAGCAGUGGGGAAUAUUGGACAAUGGGCGCAAGCCUGAUCCAGCCAUACCGCGUGGGUGAAGAAGGCCUUCGGGUUGUAAAGCCCUUUUGUUGGGAAAGAAAAGCAGCAGGUUAAUACCCCGCUGUUCUGACGGUACCCAAAGAAUAAGCACCGGCUAACUUCGUG